rnacentral:lncRNA from 1 species
AUGGGAUAAGAACCCAAAACCAUUGCUUUGAGGCAGUGAAUGGCUUGUAUAAAGUUAUUUUGGUUUAAAAUAUGUUAUAAUACAAUGAAUUUGAUUGAUUACAAGUGCUAGAAAUGCAUGAAGAAUGUUUAGAAGUGAGAAGAAAGACUUGUUGAAAUUUGGUCUCAAAUGGGAUAAGAACCCAAAACCAUUGCUUUGAGGCAAAGAAUGGCUUGUAUAAAGUUACUUUGGGUUAGAAUAUGUUAUAAUACAAUGAAUUUGAUUGAUUACAAGUGCUAGCGAUGCAUGAAGAAUGUUUAGAAGUGAGAAGAAAGACUUGUGGAUAUUUGGUCCCAAAUGGGAUAAGAACCCAAAACCAUUGCUUUGAGGCAGUGAAUGGCUUGUAUAAAGUUAUUUUGGUUUAAAAUAUGUUAUAAUGCAAUGAAUUUGAUUGAUUACAAGUGCUAGAGAUGCAUGAAGAAUGGCUUGUAUAAAGUUACUUUCGGUUAAAAUAUGUUAUAAUACAAUGAAUUUGAUUGAUUACAAGUUCUAGCGAUGCAUGAAGAAUGUUUAGAAGUGAUAAGAAAGACUUGUGGAUAUUUGGUCACAAAUGGGAUAAGAACCCAAAACCAUUGCUUUGAGGCAGUGAAUGGCUUGUAUAAUGUUAUUUGGUUUAGUAAUAUGUUAUAAUACAAUGAAUUUGAUUGAUUACUAG